UGGCAAUCCACAAGUUGUGCCUUAAGAUGCCUUAGGCUCCUUUUCUAUUAGUAUAGAUUGACUCUUGCAAAAAUUAAUUUGCGAAAAAUUAGGGACAGAUAACUACAUCUCUCAAAUCACAUACCAACACUCUCACGACUCACACAUCCAAAUGUCGUCGUCUUCCCCCAUUCUCUCAGAUUUUCCAGCGAGCAGCUACGGAGCUGCUGCCAUCACAACUCCCCCAAAUCUCUCACCCAUCUCUCUUUCAACACUCAGCCCUAAAUCAAAAAUUGCCGCCUCCAAUUUCGAUUCCCGACGUCGACAGUCAUAGACCGCUCCGCAUCGCUCCCCCUCACCUCUGAACCCCUGGCGGUGGCACGACCACAAGCCGACCUGCCGGAUUUGAACCAGCGACCUAAGGAUUAAGCUGCAAACGACGAAAACUCAGAUCUUUUGGGAGCAAUCGACGACGGCGAAACCAUAAACCUUACGUGACGUCGGCAGUGCUCGACGGCGAUUUGCAGCCGGAGGGGGCGGCGCGACGGGACGACGAAGAAGAAGAUGGUGGAGAGAGAUAGAGAGAGAGUCAAAACUGUGAGAAGAGUUCGAAGCUUUGAGAGAUAGAGGAAAGUGGCCACUUUUUAAAUUUUAAUGUAAGGGGUAUUUCUGACAUUUUGCACAAAAAUUGGCCAUUUUUUAAUAUUUUUAUUUCAUAGGCUAGAUUUUAAUUUUAUAAUAUGAAAGUGGACACUUCUAUAUAUUAAUUAACCC
rnacentral:lncRNA from 1 species